rnacentral:tRNA from 1 species
GGCGCUAUCGUCUAGCGGCUAGGACAGCAGGUUCUCAUCCUGUAAACCUGGGUUCGAUUCCCAGUAGCGUCA